GGAAUAUUGGACAAUGGGUGAAAGCCUGAUCCAGCCAUCCCGCGUGAAGGAUGACGGUCCUAUGGAUUGUAAACUUCUUUUGUAUAGGGAUAAACCUAGAUACGUGUAUCUAGCUGAAGGUACUAUACGAAUAAGCACCGGCUAACUCCGUGCCAGCAGCCGCGGUAAUACGGAGGGUGCAAGCGUUAUCCGGAUUUAUUGGGUUUAAAGGGUCCGUAGGCGGACCGAUAAGUCAGUGGUGAAAUCUCAUAGCUUAACUAUGAAACUGCCAUUGAUACUGUCGGUCUUGAGUAAAUUAGAGGUAGCUGGAAUAAGUAGUGUAGCGGUGAAAUGCAUAGAUAUUACUUAGAACACCAAUUGCGAAGGCAGGUUACCAUGAUUUAACUGACGCUGAGGGACGAAAGCGUGGGUAGCGAACAGGAUUAGAUACCCCGG
rnacentral:rRNA from 1 species